ensembl:lncRNA
GCGGCGGAGACGACGUUCCUGUCCUCCCUUAAAACAAGCCGUCAAAGCGACGCGGACGCCGCUCCUCAAGCCCUCGAGAAGAGUCCACGUGCUCCCGCGCGUCGCAUCGAGGGCCGACUGGGAGCCACGGAGACCAACCGGUGACGUAGGGGCAGUUCUUUGCAUCAGUGACAGAUCCCUUUCAUAUUGUACCUCCCCCCUCAGAAUGCUGAAUGCUGAAUUUCCCCUUUUAUGAUAUAAAAAUGUUCAGGAUUCAAGUGGUUUCUCCUCUCGCACACCGGCCCCACAGAGCCUCCCUGUGCCGUGUGCUCGGCUGGCCAGUGUGCCGAGUGUCUCGGGGGCUCAGCUCAGGCUUCAGCCGGCCACGGCCACCUGAACUGCUUUCUCCAUUGUGACCCCAGGCGGCACGCGGGCUGCUGCUUCAUUAGGUCGCUGCACCACCUCUAGCCAGGAGGGGAUUUGAAGGCAGGUCCAGUCUGGAUUACCAUAUGGCUCCUCUUGGUCCACGCUGUCAUGAAAUAUGAAUCCAACGCCAAGACUACUGCUCCUAACGCGCUCAGGAGUGUCACACAUAUACGGCCCGACACAGUGGGAGCUCCGGGCGCAUGGAUGUUGCAAAGAUUUCAUCACGCUUGGAAGGCAGGAGUUUUCAUAUUGUGAGUUGCUGGGUCCACGGCGGCGUCCUCUUUGUUUACCUUGGCUCGGUCCGCAUUGUCCUCAUCUCGUCCAGCGCGCAAAACAGACGGGAAAAGGUGUUGGAAAAAUUGCCUUUUGGGGAAAGCUCGUGAAAAUAUUCUCGUUCUCCAUUCACACCCCCUAAAUUAAUGCAGAUUAAUUCAAAUCAAAGGCCUUUGUGGAAACUGCACCUGCAAACAUUUGACUUUUUCACUGCAGAGACACAAUCUGUGUGUCAGGUAAGGAAGUGGUUUAAUCUCUUCAGGCCCAGAGGUGGCUUAAGUGGCAGAGACCAGAUGGUGGAAUCAACAUGCCCGGGAGGCAAACACCGACUGACAAGACAGCCGAGAGUCUUCCAUGAUGAAGUGUGUGCAUUUGAUUUCCCCACUCAUCCCUCUCUCAAACCGGGUUGUUCAAUAUUUUCCAUGAGCAACGAGUCAAAUGAAUGAAAAUGUGCACCGAAAAUAAAUUCACCAUUAAGCGGUCGCGUCGCUCGAUUCCGUCUGUCUGCGUGAUGGACGAGUGCAACAGCUUUCGGAUUCAACUUGACGAACCUCUUCAGUGACAUUUCUGAAAAACAAUAUCCUGAACUGCCGGCCGAAGCGGUGGGACAACCUUCGGGGUGUUGAAUGUCACCAUCUGUCGAGGACCUGCUUAGUCAAAGUCAUUACGGCACGUGGAGUGGAGCUCCUGCUCAUGAGGGCCGCGCUUUAUUGCACAGAAGCUCAGGUGGACCCUGAUCGGAUUUCAGAGGCUCAGUGGGCCGUCGGUGGGAGCGCGUGGUUUCACAUUAUCCACUUCUAAUUGUUGGGCGCACCCAACAAUCCGCUCUGUAAAACACUUGAUUUUUAUUGAUUUAUUUGGCCAAUUAGAUAUCACAUAGUAAAACUACUGUGUUUGUCCGUAAAACAACUUACUGCAAAACAAACGCUAAAGAUGUCUUCUAUUCCUAAUGCUACGGCAGUUGGAUCAAACUCCGCCGUACCUGCGUAGAUUUGACCUUUUCUCAGGAAUUUACAGUCUGCUUAUUAAUCACGAAGCCGCAGCAGCAGAUUUUUUUUUUUUUAUGGCUACUCUGAUAAACUCAACACGCUAACGCACGUUUCUGCAAACAUCUGUCUGCUAUCCAGCUGACGCGACAACUUUCACAUGCACUUUAGUUGUGGAGCUCUUCUCGGUCACCUUGACCAGCUACAAUUUAUUUAUUUCACACUCAAUCCGCUUCGGUUCAGUCAGCUAAAACAGCCCUAAGGUGUACAUUACACGUGGUCUUUUAAUCCCUUUGUAAUAAAAGUAUGUGCGUCCACGGACCACAGCAGUCCAGCGCUUUGAGAUGCUGCGAUUGGUUCCGUCAGACUCGACGUGGUGAGCAGAGUUUGAUUAAGUUUCCUGGUGUCGGCGUUCGCUCUGCGGGGCGCUGCGUCGUUCAUCCCCGCCUCAGGUGUCUGUCACACACCAGCAGGAUGCGUCGAUUCGCCGUAGCCAAACAUAUCUCCGAGCAGAUAGUUCCACCGGGGGGGGGGUUAUUGUGUUCCUCAAAACCAACUCUCAGCCAUGGCAUCCCGCUUGAUGUGCCUCUCAGGUGGCCUUCAUAUUGCCUGAAUGGAUUUUGAGCGGUGAUGUGGAACGAUUCCUUUGAGAAUGACGCCCUUUCAAAUGAAGAUAAAGUCAUUAGACAGCAGCAGCUGUCCUUGGAUCUUUGCUUUUUCCUCAACUGCGCUGGAUGAAAACGGUGUGCCGCGUGUGUUUCAAGAUGCUCUUAGGAGUGAUGCUCAUUCUCAGCGUGUUCGCAUUAAGAGCUGUUUUUCUCCAUUACUGCUUAAGGACAGUUGUCAGUUUGCCACUUGUCAAAUUUAGUUGGAUCUUUUCAGAUGAACCUUCAUCAACUUUGAAUAUUGACAUUUUAAAAGGCCCCUCGCCAACAUUCGUCCUCAUGCACACACGGGCACCGAUUGCACGGCUCAUUUCUCGAAUGACUGCGGAACGUAUGCAGCCUCCCACCGAGUGGAUGUAUUUACACGCACCUCGUCUCGUCUCGGGGAUUCCUGCCUGGCGCUCUGGCAUUCUGGCGAUUUGUUACAACCUGGCACAGAGUCUACGUCGUACCUGGAUGUGUCUGCUGUAUCUCCUCAUGCAGAAUGGCUUCUGCUGUCCCACAGGUCUGCAACAUGCUCGUCUCUACAGGUGCAGCCGGCGCCGUUGGCUUGGAGGAGGAGGAGGAGGAGGAGGAGUGGAACAAAUGUGGUUCUGUUUUUUUGGUUAACCUUUUGAUUUAACAAAAGCACGUCAAUACCCUUCUAACUGUUUGUUUGGUUUGGAAUCACACGUUUGGACACGUCACAGAAAAUAUUGUGAUUGAGAAAUUCUUCAGGUUUUAAAUGUAACGGUGUAAACGUCUCUUGUAUUUUUGUUGUUUUGUGAAAGGGGCCAAAUGAUUUGGACAACAUGGAAGUCGAAUUAAGCUAUUAUUGUUUUCCGGUACUGAAUUUGGAUCUUGGCGAGCACAGAUUGUUCCCUUUACUCGUUCUCUGAAGUGAAUUCUAUUUGUGUCGUGCGUUUUGAUGACCCAAUGUCCUUUUUAUCUUACUACUCAACAUAUUUAAGCAACACUAUAAAAUGCACCACAACAAUCUGUCCACUGACUUUGAGAUUCAAAGGAAACCCUUUGAUGCUACAGCAUGAAGUCUGCUUUCAUGAUUAACCAAAGUAAAAUAUCUGACCCGAAACACGUACAGACAUUUUGGUAUUUUGAUUUCUGCGUCCGGGUACGCUAGCGACUCCUGGCACAACCAGAGCAGGUCCAUAAAAGAGAGGACUCCCCAGUUUGGAUGUCGAAGAACUAGUCCACACAGAACCUCGACCCUGUCCAGCCCGUCUGGCGCCGACGGGAAGACCGCCGCCGAUAGACAAAGCGUCAGAGCUGGACCGUUGAAUGCGUUGAAUGGGAGCCAGAAGAGCGCAGGCUGUCACAGCAGAUUAAUACCCAUGAACGUGUGGGUGCCAUGUUCAGGUCUCUACAGAUUAAUACCCAUGAACGUGUGGGUGCCAUGUUCAGGUGUCCACAGAUUUAAACCCAUGAACGUGUGGGUGCCAUGUUCAGGUCUCCACACACCUCGCAGCCUUUUGUUUCUAAUUGCAAUGCACCGUUGUAAAAGUCGACGCUCUCCUUUUCCCCCUCCCAGUUUCUCUCUGUCCUCCGUACGUCUCGCUGAAUAUGUUCAUUUCACAGUGCUGAAGGACUUGUGCUCUCAGUGAAUUUUUUUUAUUUUGUAUGGGGCGAGAGGCUUUGUGUUUGCACAGUUUCAACAAACGCACCAAGAAAACCAGCCGAGGAGCCCGGAUGAUGUGAGAAAGCCUCCCAGGACGAGGCGGCGAGGGAGCGCGGCGGUGGGUAAAAUGAAAGCAUCGCUGUUCGCAUUCAGACAGACGGAUGGCUAAACACGCAGGUGAGUCACGUCCGGAGGAGACGACGCGGGGGGAUCUCAGUGUGCAGGUGAAUGUGCUGAACGGAGAGCAGCAGCACAAUGUUGACAACUGAAAUAAUUUGGUUUCCAGUGCAGCUUCAUCCGUUUUGAUCAUUUUCUUGUAGCAUUUGUCACAAGAUGGCUUGCUGGUUUAUUGUCACAACAGGCAUCCUGAAGUGUAUUUCUUCCACUCAGUCUGAGGAAAAACCUGCAGGAGAGUUUCAGGAGGGUGUAGAGAAUGCAACAUUCAGAUCCACAGUAACAUCACUACAAAACACUGCAGCUUAAUUCUGACAAAUGCUCUUCUGUUCAUUAAGAAUUGAUAAAAAUUGAUAAAAAAGCUACUUGAGGAUUUAAGACAUCAUCCCUCUGUUAACUUACUCAUCAGCAAGUAUUAGAAAAGUAAGGGUAAAUCUUUUCUGACGUCUCAUAUUUCGGCGCCGUAUUCUUUGCCUCCACUUUUCUCUUAACAUUUCUACCUCGCGCCCUCGACGUUGGGGAGGCUUUUGACCUGCGACACGCGCAGCCGAUGCUUUCACAAUGUCAGACGCAGAAGCGGCGUGAAAGCCGCCACAGUUCAGGUUGGUUUGCCGAGGCCGGAACCUAAGUGGCUGCUUUUCAUGGGAGCACUUAGCCGUGAAGUCAAUAUGACUCAGCCUGCCCCUCCGACUUGGCACGUCAAAGUAAGUGAGCACACGGGUCCUUAAAGAGGCUUCGACGUGAUGUUUCCACCGCCUCCCUGCCAGCCUCGGUCGGCCCUAUUAAUUGAUCCAGUUAAAUAAAGAGCAUCAGUCGGUCCGCCGGGACCGGAACGCUUUCAAGUCCUUCUGACAAUCAGUAGAAAAUCCCUUUUGAUUUCUUCCGUUUAUGUGCAUGACUUGUGAUAAUUACGUCGCACAAUUACCUUGAACUGGGCGUCGUUUGAGACGUUGCGCUCAGGUGAAACCUCGUUACCCCAACGCGGCAUUCCGCCCACCGGAACGCUGCAUCUAAUCUUAAAAAGCUGAACCGGAGUGAGUCUGUAUUGAUUGGGAGCGCUGAGAGCAACAACGGGCGCUUUACCCACUAAUGGGAUUGUGUUCUUUGUUUGAACACAGACGCACACCUCUGACAUGACUUCGUUUCAUUUGCAAUCAAACGGGCGGUUUCCGCCGGCGUCGCGGUGAGUCGGCCCUCUAAUGUGAGCCAAGCCCCAAGCGCUCCUCCGUUGUUGCCGCGCCGCCGCAAUUAAAUUAAAUGUUCUAAUUUCACCCAACACUUGUUGAGAUUGUUGUCUGCGAUUUUCUUUUUAUUUCGAAUUUCUUACUCUGAUUGUUUGGUCUCCGAGCAGCUCCGAUCGCCUCGAGUAGUAAAGUGUCACUCUUCAUGCUUCAUCUUACUGAAGCCCGAUGAAAUGCACGCGGAGAGGCAGAAGCUGGAUUCUAUUAAAAGUUUUUAACGCUUGAUUGUAUCCUUGAUGGCGUUGAAAAAGGAGUCUCUGAGGGCGAAUAUUACUCCAUCGUGCUGCUGCCGCUCGGGCCAAAUGGUGUCAAUUAGUAAUCAAUUGAGAAUCCGCUGUCCUUUGUUGGCGCGGCAGUAAUCACAGACGUCGUAGAUCACGUUUGUCUCCAUCGGGGCGUCUGGAUGCUUUUCUUCUUCUCUGGUUCUCAACAGUUGAUGCACUACAUGAGAUCUAUAUUUAUAUUCAUCAUGUCGAUAUGCAGGACCUGUUUGACAUUAAAUAUCAAUUUAAAUCAAUGCUGCUUUUUAGAUGACCAAUAAUGUAUUAUUAUAUGUUCAGCUCCCGAAGGCUUCAGCUGACGUUUCUUAUUAUGUCUAUUCUAUAUCUGUCUAUUUUACACAAAUACGACGUUGUCAUGGAACAGCUUGAGGGGGCCGAAUCCGGCCUGGUUGAGUCUUUUCAUUUGGCUUUUUACCAGAACAUGUUUGCCUAUGUUAAUAUUGCAGAACCCACUAUUUGUUGUUUUAUUAUAUUAUAUAUAUAUAUACGCCUGUAUUCAUGUCUCCAACAUGUUGUAAACCGUACAAAUAUAUCUGAAGAAUGAAGUGUCUUCAUGUCAAAGACUUCUUCUAAUCAAGCGUGUACAUAGAUACAAAUCAUCACUGCUUGUAUCAUGUUGUUAUCUUAUCCCGAAUAGCAAUGACUAAAUAUCAUUUAGAAACUGAUGGAAAAUAAAACAACAAAAGAAUCAGCUUUUAAUAUUUCACAAAUGCGUAAAUCUUCUUUCACUGAGUGGAAGGAGAAUUCUACGGGAAGCGUUUUAAUGGUCCCACACUUCCUCUCAUGUCAGCUGAAGAGCCCCAACUCCACUUCUGCUGGAUUCCAUGGAUGGGUCCAUCUCCUAAUG